GGACAUAUAUUUUCUGAAUUCCAGCAACACGCAAUUGUUAGUUCAUUACCCCCACACAUUAAUUCCAAACUUAAUGGCCAACCCACAUGAUGGUCUACAAGCACGGGAAUUAAAAAUCAUAGGUCAAUUUAUCGAGAGGGUCAUUUUAUCUAUCCAAAAAUAAGGAGACACACAAAUUUGACAGCUUUUGAGCCAUAACUGUUGGCCCUAAAGAUUUAGCAACUUCGGCAACCAAAAUGAUAAAAACUCGAAACCCGAACGUCCGAGGAAAAAGUAGUCCAGUAUCAUUGUAUUGCCCGAAACAGAAAACGAAUACCACCGACAUGCUAACUGAAUCACCAGGAGCAAUCUACCUAAAGAGAUCAUCGCUGAAAAAUGCAUUACAUUCUGCCAUGCAACGGGGAAGCUUCUACGUGUGGGCCUCAUGUGUCGCCAUGCUGGAGCCUCCACGAGUCGAUCCACUGACUUCAUCUUGUUGUCCGAAGUCAAAAUAUGGCCUCCAUUUUUCCAUUGCACAGGUUUGUUUCUUGCUGAUUUCUAUCCAGAUUUUACUCUCUCAUAUCUGCUGAUAU
rnacentral:lncRNA from 1 species